rnacentral:ncRNA from 2 species
CCCGAACCGUUGGGGUGCCUUGCGAAAGGCUGAGAGGCGUGGAUGCGCUAACCCAUCGAACCUGAUCCGGGCAAUUCCGGCGUAGGGAACGGUCUAUGCGCAAGC